AGAGUUUGAUCCUGGCUCAGGAUGAAUUCUAGCUACAGGCUUAACACAUGCAAGUCGAGGGGCAGCAUGGUCUUAGCUUGCUAAGGCUGAUGGCGACCGGCGCACGGGUGAGUAACACGUAUCCAACCUGCCGUCUACUCUUGGCCAGCCUUCUGAAAGGAAGAUUAAUCCAGGAUGGCAUCAUGAGUUCACAUGUCCGCAUGAUUAAAGGUAUUUUCCGGUAGACGAUGGGGAUGCGUUCCAUUAGAUAGUAGGCGGGGUAACGGCCCACCUAGUCAACGAUGGAUAGGGGUUCUGAGAGGAAGGUCCCCCACAUUGGAACUGAGACACGGUCCAAACUCCUACGGGAGGCAGCAGUGAGGAAUAUUGGUCAAUGGGCGAUGGCCUGAACCAGCCAAGUAGCGUGAAGGAUGACUGCCCUAUGGGUUGUAAACUUCUUUUAUAAAGGAAUAAAGUCGGGUAUGCAUACCCGUUUGCAUGUACUUUAUGAAUAAGGAUCGGCUAACUCCGUGCCAGCAGCCGCGGUAAUACGGAGGAUCCGAGCGUUAUCCGGAUUUAUUGGGUUUAAAGGGAGCGUAGAUGGAUGUUUAAGUCAGUUGUGAAAGUUUGCGGCUCAACCGUAAAAUUGCAGUUGAUACUGGAUGUCUUGAGUGCAGUUGAGGCAGGCGGAAUUCGUGGUGUAGCGGUGAAAUGCUUAGAUAUCACGAAGAACUCCGAUUGCGAAGGCAGCCCGCUAAGCUGCAACUGACAUUGAGGCUCGAAAGUGUGGGUAUCACAACGAGGAUUAGAUACCCUGGUAGUCCACACGGUAAACGAUGAA
rnacentral:rRNA from 1 species